rnacentral:rRNA from 1 species
CAGCAGCAGCCGCGGUAAUACGGAGGGUGCAAGCGUUAUCCGGAUUUAUUGGGUUUAAAGGGUCCGUAGGCGGACUUAUAAGUCAGUUGUGAAAGCCUGUCGCUUAACGAUAGAACUGCCAUUGAUACUGUAAGUCUUGAGUAUAUUUGAGGUAGCUGGAAUAAGUAGUGUAGCGGUGAAAUGCAUAGAUAUUACUUAGAACACCAAUUGCGAAGGCAGGUUACCAAGAUAUAACUGACGCUGAGGGACGAAAGCGUGGGUAGCGAACAGGAUUAGAUACCCCGGUAGUCCCUGUCUCUUAUAC